GUGGCGGCAGGCAUGCACCUUAAACGUGUUUGCGGACGGCCAUUAUACCAUAAAGAAGAAGAAACAAUGAAGCCAAAGAUUUAUUUUUAAGCGAAUUGAACGCACCCCAAUCGGUGGGGCGAAACAGAAACUGUCAGCUGAAGAAUAGAGGAUGCGUGUUGAACCCACUGCAACUGGACACGGACAUUUAUAAGGCACCCUUUCACCGAUCGAGAACGAAGACGGUGUCGCAAGAGCAGUCAGUUUGUAUGAGGAGUCCUGUGCUUGGUGCAUCUUUUAAUCUUUGACCUUUGGCACAC
rnacentral:lncRNA from 1 species